UCCAGACUCCUACGGGAGGCAGCAGUGGGGAAUAUUGCACAAUGGGCGAAAGCCUGAUGCAGCAACGCCGCGUGAAGGAAGAAGGCCUUCGGGUCGUAAACUUCUGUCCUUGGGGAAGAAGAACUGACGGUACCCAAGGAGGAAGCCCCGGCUAACUACGUGCCAGCAGCCGCGGUAAUACGGAGGAUGCGAGCGUUAUCCGGAUUUAUUGGGUUUAAAGGGUGCGCAGGCGGAGGUGCAAGUCAGCGGUCAAAUUGCGGGGCUCAACCCCGUACUGCCGUUGAAACUGCAUCCCUUGAGUGCGCGAGAAGUAUGCGGAAUGCGUGGUGUAGCGGUGAAAUGCAUAGAUAUCACGCAGAACUCCGAUUGCGAAGGCAGCAUACCGGCGCGCAACUGACGCUCAUGCACGAAAGCGUGGGUAUCGAACAGGAUUAGAUACCCUAGUA
rnacentral:rRNA from 1 species